GGGGAUGUUGGGCUUUGACAGAGAGUUCUUUUCACACUAUGCAGACCGAGGUCGUCGCCUGCUCGGAAAACGGCGGCACACACCAAUAAGUGCAAACUUAUUCUCAAAAGUAAAGAAUGCAAUAGCGUUAAGCUUUGCUCCUCUUUCUUUCGCAAGGGUCUAGUACUCUUGCCAUCGGACCUGCUAACGCCUGAUAGGUGGGCCUCCGGUGUUAUAGUAUCAGGUUGCGCGAUACGCCGCCGCAGCGUAUCGUUAAGCUAAGCGGCUGUACGUUCCGGCAUUUUGGUUGCUUUCCAGCCGGCACGCGAGAACAACAAACAACCUACGUUUGGAGAAAUAGUGUGAAUAGCUUUUUGGAUGCGAGUUCAACUCUCGCCAUCUCCACAA
rnacentral:tmRNA from 1 species